GCCCCGCAGGGAAGGCCCGGGCUGCAGCCCCCACGGCGCCCAGGCGUCGUCUUGCGACGGGCGCUCAGCGGCUCCUGGCGGGCAGAUGCGCGUGACCCGGAGGCACGCGGCUGGCCCCGUGUGCUCGGGGCGAGGGAAAGGGAAGUCUGCCCGCUCCUUCCGAGUGGUCCUUGUGGAGCAAGCCGCGCCAGCCCCACACCUCGAGAGGCGGUGGCAGAACGGGCCUGAACUGCUGGUGUUCUGGAAGGUGCCAGACGGAAGAGCACAUGGUUAACAGCUACCACUCAGCCUCGACUGUGCUGCCGGUGGGACGCGAUGCUCAGGAAGGGCUGCCCUCGCCGGCGGGUGCGGUGCGGGACUAGCUUCCGCAGCGGCGCCACGUGGCAGCAGAAGCGAUUGCAGCGGCGCGUUGAUGGCUUCUCCUGAGCUGCCGUUGUCCUUGGACCCAGUACUUCCAGUCCCAGGCACUCUGGAGCAUGUUUAGACAGACCAUGUUUGGUGUGUCACCAGAAUGGGCUUUCUGAGCAUUCCUGGAAGCAGUGUCUGCACCAGGAUGGCAGCGAAGAUUUCACUGUCCCUGGAAGCAGUGAUGAAAUGUCUGCUCCUGCCGCGGUGCAGAGGAGCGGCAGGCCUCGACCUCCUACAGCGGUGCAUUGCAGUGGGAGGCGAAAGUCCUCGGACCAACAAGGAAGCAAUUCAAAAUAUUGGCAUUGAGAAAACAAAUGACAAGUCAGAUUAUUUCUAAUAUCAUACCUUGCUUUUAGUAAAAAUCAAAGGAAGAUUUAAUCAGAUAGGAAGCCAGUGGAUCAUUAAAAAUGAUGUUGAUUAUUGAUCAUGAUGUAAUUUUUGGCAUACAACUCAGAAAAAGUUCAAAGAAUAGAAUGGUAUCACUUUAACAAAUUCUU